rnacentral:rRNA from 1 species
CACGUAGGGCGCAAGCGUUGUCCGGAAUUAUUGGGCGUAAAGAGCUCGUAGGCGGACUGUCACGUCCGCUGUGAAAACCCAGGGCUUAACCCUGGGCUUGCAGUGGAUACGGGCAGGCUAGAGGUAGGCAGGGGAGAAUGGAAUUCCCGGUGUAGCGGUGAAAUGCGCAGAUAUCGGGAGGAACACCGGUGGCGAAGGCGGUUCUCUGGGCCUUACCUGACGCUGAGGAGCGAAAGCGUGGGGAGCGAACAGG